CGUGGGUAACCUGCCCUUUGGUGGGGAAUAACUCCGCGAAAGCGGAGCUAAUUCCGCAUAAGAUCCGCAAGGAUGAAAGCCGCAAGGCGCCGAAGGAGGGGCCCGCGCCCGAUUAGCUAGUUGGUGAGGUAAUGGCUCACCAAGGCAUUGAUCGGUAGCUGGUCUGAGAGGAUGAUCAGCCACACUGGAACUGAGACACGGUCCAGACUCCUACGGGAGGCAGCAGUGGGGAAUCUUGCACAAUGGGCGAAAGCCUGAUGCAGCGACGCCGCGUGGGGGAUGAAGCAUUUCGGUGUGUAAACCCCUUUCGAUCCGGACGAAACCCCGCAAGGGAUUGACGGUACGGAUAUAAGAAGCCCCGGCUAACUACGUGCCAGCAGCCGCGGUAAGACGUAGGGGGCCAGCGUUGUUCGGAAUUACUGGGUGUAAAGGGUUCGUAGGCGGUGCGGCAAGUCGGGAGUGAAAUCUUUGGGCUUAACCCAGAGGCUGCUUCCGAAACUGCUGUGCUUGAGUGUGGGAGAGGCGCGUGGAAUUGCAGGUGUAGCGGUGAAAUGCGUAGAUAUCUGCAGGAACACCCGUGGC
rnacentral:rRNA from 1 species